CACGUAGGGUGCGAGCGUUGUCCGGAAUUAUUGGGCGUAAAGAGCUCGUAGGCGGUGUGUCGCGUCGGCCGUGAAAACCUGCAGCUUAACUGUGGGCUUGCGGUCGAUACGGCAUCACUGGAGUUCGGCAGGGGAGACUGGAAUUCCUGGUGUAGCGGUGAAAUGCGCAGAUAUCAGGAGGAACACCGGUGGCGAAGGCGGGUCUCUGGGCCGAUACUGACGCUGAGGAGCGAAAGCGUGGGGAGCAAACAGG
rnacentral:rRNA from 1 species